rnacentral:rRNA from 1 species
CGGACGGGUGAGUAAUGUCUGGGAAACUGCCUGAUGGAGGGGGAUAACUACCGGAAACGGUAGCUAAUACCGCAUAACGUCGCAAGACCAAAGAGGGGGACCUUAGGGCCUCUUGCCAUCGGAUGUGCCCAGAUGGGAUUAGCUAGUAGGUGGGGUAACGGCUCACCUAGGCGACGAUCCCUAGCUGGUCUGAGAGGAUGACCAGCCACACUGGAACUGAGACACGGUCCAG